rnacentral:tRNA from 1 species
ACUAUUUUGACAGAUUAAUGUGUUGGAUUUAGAAUUCAUUUUUCUAGAUUAUUUUUCCAAAUAGUA